rnacentral:rRNA from 1 species
UGGGGAAUAUUGGACAAUGGGCGAAAGCCUGAUCCAGCCAUGCCGCGUGUGUGAAGAAGGCCUUUUGGUUGUAAAGCACUUUAAGUGGGGAGGAAAAGCUUGUGGUUAAUACCCAUAAGCCCUGACGUUACCCACAGAAUAAGCACCGGCUAACUCUGUGCCAGCAGCCGCGGUAAUACAGAGGGUGCAAGCGUUAAUCGGAAUUACUGGGCGUAAAGCGCGCGUAGGUGGUUAUUUAAGUCAGAUGUGAAAGCCCCGGGCUUAACCUGGGAACUGCAUCUGAUACUGGAUAACUAGAGUAGGUGAGAGGGGAGUAGAAUUCCAGGUGUAGCGGUGAAAUGCGUAGAGAUCUGGAGGAAUACCGAUGGCGAAGGCAGCUCCCUGGCAUCAUACUGACACUGAGGUGCGAAAGCGUGGGUAGCAAACAGGAUUAGAUACCCUGGUAGUCCACGCCGUAAACGAUGUCUACCAGUCGUUGGGUCAUUUAAAGACUUAGUGACGCAGUUAACGCAAUAAGUAGACCGCCUGGGGAGUACGGCCGCAAGGUUA